rnacentral:tRNA from 1 species
GGAGGGGUCGCAUAGUGGACUAGUGCACCCGCCUCGAAAGCGGGCAGGGCGAUGAGCCCUCGUGGGUUCGAAUCCCACCCCCUCCG